ACCAGGGGAAGGCGUGGGGAGAGAAGUGAACCAGUGUCCGGGCCGCCUGCUGGGAAGGGAUGGCGCAGCACCAACUGCUGAGUACCCCCCUCUGGUCCCCACUCCCUGCACCUCACAUCCCCCAUCCAUCCGGGGGCGGCCCCUCCCCGCUGACGGAAAACCAGAAAGAAGGGCGGGGGAGAGAUGGAGAAUAACCAAAAGGCACCUGGCAAAAAGCUCUAGACAUUGUAACUCUAAAAGGACCGAAGAAGACCCUUUUCUGACUACAGGCAGAAGAACUCCCCGUUACUGAAUGUUUUUUAUGUACCAUCUGCAUUAUAUAAAUUGUCCUAUUAAUCCUCCAAACCAUUCUGUGAGGAGAGGCUUUGGCUUGAGUUAUCCAGAUGUUGCAUGGUGAGGUGAAGGACUCCAACAGCUUUGUUUGUUGAAAAAAGCAGAAUCUUUUUUUUCAUUAACAAAGAGAAUGAAUUUUUCUAUUCCAUCAAAAUUUCUAUGUGGCCAUCUCUUCAGGACAUACGUAUCAGCUACUGCUUUAAAUUUAGGAAAUGCACACACAUAUGUAACCAACCACAUAAUGUUUCCAAAGCAAUAUAUUGAGAUUGAUACAAAUACACAUUUUUCAAGAAUCCUGGACUAAUCCCACACUAUUCUGAGCCUUCUUUACUUUUUAAGCCUCUUUAUUUCUAUUAUAUGACUGUGAACUAAGUAGAUUUAACUUUUGUAUGCUUUGUAAAAUCAGUUAUAUUUUCUGAUAUGUGAUAACAAAUAUACUGUGUAUUUCAUUGAAACAUAUAGGAAAACUGCUCUUUUUUUCCUUUUAAAAUCAGUGCCUAUGGUUUAGUCAACAAAGUAUUUAAUGAGUGGCUGCUUUGAGCCAUUUUUAAUUGGCUGGACUACUGCAGACAUACCAUUUUAAAUGAUUACACAUAUGUUUAGAGAAUCAGCAUAGGAUUUUUGUUUUUUCUUUGAGAUUGAACAAUUUUUAUUUCAUCAUUACUAAAACUUAGCUGACAAUUUUUAUUUUGUCAUUACUAAAGCUUAGCUGGAUGUCAGUUUCUGCCUUUAAAUAAAAUAUCCUAAUCCAGGAUUAUUCUCUAUUGCAAAAA